rnacentral:lncRNA from 1 species
UACAGGAAAAGAAAAGCAAGAUCUUCUCAAGGAAGGGAAAUAUAUGUAAGUAAAAAAUUAAUUGCUCCAGCCAUACGUGGUGGCUCACACCUGUAAUCUCAGCACUUUGGGAGGCCGAGGUGGGCGGAUCACCUCGGGAGGUCGGGAGUUUGAGACCAGCCUGACCAACAUGGAGAAACCCUGUCUCUACUAAAAAUACAAAAUUAGCCAGGCAUGGUGGCACAUGCCUGUAAUCUCAGCUACUCUGGAGACUGAGGCAGGAGAAUUGCUUGAACCCAGGAGGUGAAGGUUGAGGUGAGCUGAGAUCGCACCACUGCACUCUAGCCUGGGCAACGAGCAAAACUCUGUCUCAAAAAAAAAAAAUUGCUCCAAUGUGUAUAAACUAUCCAAAUUAAAUGUUAUGACAGUCAUGUAAGAUAUGUUUUGAAAUAUUAAGAAACAGAAAUGUAUAAUUUUUACAUGGUUUGUCUUUAAAACCUACAAAUGAAAAGUAUUCCUCACACCCACGUCCCAAACUGAAAUCAAGUCACUGAAUGCUCUAGUCAUAUAUAAAAUAAGACUGUUAACUCUAUAGCUGCCAUUAGCAGACACCCCUGCAUUUUAAACCUGUAUAUUAUUUUGGGUUUUCUAUCACAUGCAUUUAAGCCUUCUCUUAACUAAUGAGAAAAGAUUCUUAGACAUUAGAGCAUUAUUUCAAAAACUCCAAUGUCUAUCAGAGGGAUUCUAGAACAACAGAAAGAUAAAAUGGGAGGGGACAAAAUUAUCUAAGAAAUAAAACAAUAAAAGUUCUCAGGAUGAAAGAAAUACAUUUACAGAAUAAAAGCAUCAACUGAAUGCCCAGAAAAAUGA